CUCAUGUACCAUGAAAGAGAGUUUAGCAUACAAUAAUACAAAUGUAGAAUAUGGUUAGAAAUAUUUAAACAACACUAAAGAUUAUAGGCUUCAGUAUAUAAAGCAUUUACCAAAUUUCAAUAUUUUUGUAGAGGUACACAUAGAUUUUGAGAAAAUUUCAAAAACUAUGACAAUAUUGUUUUAAUGAAUAGUUGGAUUCUACACUAAUAUAUGAUGAUGUUGAAAGAGGUUUAGAGUCUUUGUUGUGUCCGUUUUAAAAAAAAAAACUAUUUUGUAGUGAUUAUUCCAUUGAUUAAGAUAGUAUUAUGAAGCUUUACUAAAUUAAUUGAUAAAAAAUUAUAAAGAUUCUCAUAUACCAUGAAAGAAAGUUUAAUAUAUACUAAUAAAAAUGUAGAAUGUGGUUGGAUAUUUUUAAACAACACUAAAAAGUUUAGGCUUAAGUAUAUAGAGCGUUUAACGUAAAAUUCAAUAUUUUCGUAGAGGUUGUUAACACAUAGAUUUUGAAAAAAAUUCAGAAAAUAUAAAAAAUAUUGCUUUAAUGCAUAGUUGUCUUCUGUACUAAUAUAUAGUGGUGGUCAAAGAGGUUUGGAACCUUUUUUGUCUCCAUUUCUCUAGAGAAUAGUGAUUUUAUAAGGGCUAGUCCAUUAAUUUUGGGAGAAUAUAAAAUUAUACUAAAUUAAUUUUUUAAAAAAUUGAACUAUGUUCAUGUACCAUAAAAGAGAGUUUAGCAUACAUUAAUACGAAUGUAUAAUGUGGUUAGAAAUUUUAAAACAACACUAAAGAUUAUAGGGUUCAGUAUAUAAAGCAUUUACCAAAAUUCAAUAUUUUUUGUAGAGGUUGUUAACAUAUAGAUUUUGCGAAAUUAUAAUAUUGUUUUAAUGUAUAGUUGCAUCCUACACUAAUAUAUGAUGAUGUUGAAAGAAGUUUAGAGCCUUUGUUGUCUCCGUUUUUCAAGAAAAUAGUGAUUUUGUAGUGAUUAUUCUACUAAUUCAGAUAGUGUUAUGAAGUUUUACUAAUUAAUUGAUAAAAAAUUAUAAUGAUUACCUUAUACCAUAAAAGAGAGUUUAACAUACUUUAAUACCAAUUUAGAAUGUCGUUAGAAAAUUUUGAACAACAAUAAAAAGAAAACUCGAUAUUUUCGUAGGGGUUAAUACAUAGAUUUUGAGAAAAUUAAAAAAAUAUAACAAUAUUGCUUUAAUGCAGAAUUUCCUCCUGUACUAGUAUAAGGUGAUGGUCAAAGAGGUUUGGAACCUUUGUUGUAUUCAUUUCUCAAGAAAAUAGCGAUUUUAUAAUGGUUAGUCCACUAAUUUAGGGAAUAUAUGAAAUUUUACUAAAUUAAUUUAUAAAAAAAUUGAACGAUUCUCAUUUACCAUUGAAGAGAGUUUAUCAUACAUUAGAACCAAUAUAAAAUGUGGUUAUAAAUUUUAAAACAACACUAAAGAUUAUAGGCUUCAGUAUAUAAAGAAUUUACCAAAAUUCAAUUUUUUUGUAGAGGUUAACACAUAGAUUUUGAAAAAAAUUUAAAAAAUAUGAGAAUGUUGUUUUAAUGCAUAGUUCCAUCUUACAUUAAUAUAUUAUGAUGUUGAAAGGGGUUUAGAGCUUUUGUUGUUUACGUUUUUCAAGAAAAUAGCGAUUUUGUAGUGGUUAUUCAACCGAUUUAGAGAGUAUUAUGAAAUUUUACUAAAUUAAUUGAUUAGAAAUUAUAACGAUUCUCAUAUACCAUGAAACAUAAUUUAACAUACAUUAAUACAAAUUUAGAAUGUGGCUAGAAAUUUUAAAACAACACUUAAAUGUUUAAGCUUCAGUAUAUAGAGCGUUUAACGUAAAACUCAAUAUUUUCGUAUGGGGUUAACACAUAGGUUUUGAGAAAAAUUCAAAAAAUAUAACAAUAUUUCUUAAUGCGUAGUUGACUUCUGUACAAAUAUAUGGUGAUGGUCAAAGAGGUUUGGAACCUUUGUUAUCUCCAUUUCUCUAGUGCAUUAGUUUAGGGAGAAUGUGAAAUUUUACUAAAUUUUUUUUUUUUUUAAAUUGAACGAUGUUCGUGUACCAUGGAAGAUAGUUUAACAUACAUUAAUACGAAUGGAGAAUGUUGUUUAAAACAACAUUAAAGAUUAUAGGGUUCAGUAUUUAAAGCGUUUAUCAAAAUUCAAUAUUUUUGUAGUGUUGUUAACCCAUAGAUUUAAAAAAAAAUUCAAAAAAUAUGAAAAUAUUGCUUUAAUGCAUAGUUGCAUUCUACACUAAUAUAUGAUGAUGCUGAAAGAGGUUUAGAGCCUUUGUUGUCUCUGUUUUUCAAGAAAAUAGCGAUUUUGUACUGGUUAUCCCACUCAUUUAGAUAGUAUUAUGAAGAUUUACUAAUUAAUUGAUAAAAAAAAUUAGAAUGAUUCUCAUAUACCUUAAAAGAGAGUUUAACAUAUAUUAAUACAAAUUUAGCAUGUUGUUAGAAAAUUUAGAACAACAAUAAAAAGUAUAAUUUUCAGUAUAUAGAGCACUUAACAUAAAACUCAAUAUUUUCGUAAGGGGUUAACACAUAGAUUUUUAGAAAAAAAAUUAAAAAAUAUAACAAUAUUUUCUUAAUAUAUAGUUGCCUCAUGUACAAAUAUAUGGUGAUGGUCAAAGAGGUUUGAAACCUUUUUGUCUGCAUUUCUCUAGAGAAUAGCGAUUUUAUAAUGGUUAGUCGACUAAUUUAGGGAGUAUAUGAAAUUUUACUAAAUUAAUUUAAAAAAAUUAACGAUGCUCAUGUACAUGAAAGAAAGUUUAGCAUACAUUAAUAUAAACGUAGAAUAUGUUUAUAAAUUUUAAAACAAUACUAAAGACUUUAUGGUUCAGUAUAUAAAGUAUUUACCAAAAUUCAAUAUUUGUGUAGGGGUUAAUAUAUAAAUUUUGAGAAAAUUUUAAAAAUAUGACAAUAUUAUUUUAAUGCAUAGUUUCAUCAUGCACUAAAAUAUGUUGAUGUUGAAAGAGAUUUGGAGACUUUGUUGUCUCCAUUUUUCAGGAAAAUAAUGAUUUUAUAGUGGUUAUUCCACCGAUUUAGGGAAUAUUAUGAAGUUUUAAUAAAUUAAUUGAUAAACAUUUUUUAACGAUUCCCAUUUACCAUGAAAAAGAGUUUAACAUACAUUAAUACAAAUUUAGAAUGUGGGUAGAAACUUUGAAACAACAUUAAAAAGUUUAGGCUUCGGUAUAUAGAGCAUUUAACGUAUAACUCAAUAUUUUCGUUGGGGUUAACACAUAGAUUUUAAGAAAGAUUCAAAAAAAUAUAACAAUAUUUUUUUAAUGCAUAUUUGCCUCCUGUUCUAUUAUAUGAUGAUGGUCAAAGUCUUCAUUUCUCUAGAGAAUAAUGAUUUUUUAAUGGUUAAACCACUAAUUAGGGGAGUAUAUUAAAUUUUACUAAAUUAAUUUAUAAAAAAUUGAACGAUGCUCAUAUACCAUAAAAGAAAGUUUAGCAUACAUUAAUACAAAUUUAGAAUGUGUUUAGAAAUUUUAAAACAACACUAAAGAUUAUACGGUUCCGUAUAUAAAGCAUUUUUCAUAAUUCAAUAUUUUUGUAGAGCUGUUAAUACAUAGAUUUUGAGAAAAUUUCUAAAAAUAUGAAAAUAUUGUUUUAAUGCAUAGUUACAUUCUACACUAAUAUAUGAUGAUCUUGAAAGAGGUUUAGAGCUUUUGUUGUGUCCGUUUUUCAGAAAAAAUAGCGAUUUUGUAGUGAUUAUUCCACUGAUUAAGAUAACAUUAUGAAGUUUUAUUAAUUAAUUGAUAAAAAAUUAGAAUGAUUCCCAUAUAGCAGAAAAGAGAGUUUAUCAUACAUUAAUACAAAUGUAGAAUGUGGAUAAAAAUUUAAAACAACACUAAAAAGUUUAGGGUUCAGUAUAUAAAGCAUGUAACUUAAAACUCAAUAUUUUCGUAGCGGUUAACACAUAGAUUUUGAGAAAAACUCAAAAAAUAUAACAAUAUUGCUUUAAUUCAUAGUUGCCUCUUGUACUAAUAUAUGAUCAUGAUCAAAGAGGUUUGGAACCUUUGUUUUCUCUAUUUCUCUAGAGAGUAGCGAUUUUAUAAUGCUUAGUCCACUAAUUUAGGGAGUAUAUGAAGUUUUACUAAAUCAACUUAU